UGUUAUGAUGAUAACCAACUCAGCUCACUCAGAACCACGUAAUGCUGAGAACUGUUCCUAAUCCAACAAUUAUUUUUCUGAUAGUACG
rnacentral:snoRNA from 1 species